AAAGAGCCCCCACAACAAGGGACAGUCCUGACUAAGGUGGAAGAGGCAGAAAUUCCUUCUGGAGAGAAAAAGAAGCCACAAUCAGGAGCAAUGGACUUUUUCAGCUGGCCAGAUCUAUGUGAGAGCAGAUGUAUUGAGACCAACCUCUGAAAACUUCUCAUCACAGGUGGACACAUCCUCUCAGGUUAUUACCAUGAACCUCUUCAUGUACUCACCUUAACGUGUAACAGGGGCACCAGUGUUCUUCGAGUUCACAGUCAGCAUAUAUUAGAAGCAUUUACAUCAAGAUACAGCCAGGAA